GGGUUAAUUCAUGGAGUCACACUUUUAUUUCCUCUUGAGCACUAUCUUUUCGUCUUUCUUUAUCUUUUUCUUCCUGCUUUCUCUCUAUUUUGGCAAACCUAGGCUGAAUUGUUUUGUAAAGACAGAAGAUUGAAAGCCACCACCUCUCUCGGACAUGAAAGUUUUGCGAGGCUCGACGAACAAAAGGAGCUCCUCGGCCACCACCUUUGUCCAGAAGGUGUAUAGGUUUUGGGAUUAUCAUCAGUGAAGGAGAGAACUUGUACUUAAGAUCAUUAAAAGAGCUUGUUGAUUUUGUGAACGAGCGGGUUCCACUUGAAGGAAUCCUAGAGUUUGUGAAGCAGCGGCUUAAUGGAGGGAAUCAGUCAUUCUUUCUUCAUCAUCUCCAACCACCGACACCAUCUCUCUCGGUUGUCAUCUUGAACCACAACCAACCACUGAGGAAAAAGUUGCUCCAAAACAAUAAAUGAAUAAGAAGGAAAGUAUAAAACUCAGGAUAAAAUGUAUGUAGAUUUUUAUAUUCUACUUAUUUAUCUCUUAUUUGUUCAUUUUUAUUUCUAGAUUCUUAUUUAAGGUGCUGAAACUCAUGAGGGCCAUUGCAAGCAGCUAGGUUCUUCGAGGCAGUGUUGAGUUCGGUCUAACACGCAUGAUGCUACUGUGGAGGAUGAAGAAGAGAUAAAGCCUACAAAUUGCAUGAGUUGGGUCACAGAGUUUAGGUUCACACUAUUAAAUACACAACUUGAGUCCAAGGUACUUUCUGAGAUGGUGAAACAAGGAUUGAAAGACAUGAAGCUCACGAUGAAGCAAUGCUUUUCUCUAAGGAAAUGGCAAGAUAUGGAUGCAAGCCUAGUUGUGCAACUUUCAAUAUUCUUAUGAAUGGGUUUGGGAAAACAGGAGAUGUGGAAACUGUCUGUGAAGGAAUAAGACCAGACUUGAAGACUUACACGAUUCUUGUGAAUUCUCUCUAGAUAUUAUAAACAACUCAAUGUUUUGGAAAUCUUCCUGACUGCAUACCAGAACCAAAUGAGAAGCUUGUGGAAUUUGGAAUAGGAGGGGGCUGCAAUUCUUGUGCUGGUAUGUUCAACACUAUUAACUGGUGAUCUUAACUUGAUCAUAUUUCUUGCGAUGCUUGUUUUCAUAAACAGAUAGUUGUGUUCUGUUUAUUGAUACAUUUUUGCAUUAGUGUUUUUGAUUCAGAACUAGCAAGCAACUUGAUGACCCUCUAUCACCAUCUUUACUCUUUUUGCAUCUUAAAGAUUCUUCUUUUGAAUUAUGUAAUUGAAACCUUUUGAUUUUCCAUGACGAUGUUUAGAAGCUCAGAUAACAGAACAUGUCUUGUCUAGAGAUGCAUUAAAUCUAUUCCCUUUAGUUGAUGGGCAGUAAUACCAUGAAAACUCUGUUUAGCUUAAAUGCAUUAAAUUGGAAAGGUUCUUUGGCUCAAAUUUCUUCCUGGUCAAGUGUUAACAAGGAUAUAUACUAAAUUGACAGACACCUUAAUUGAAGAAAGUUGUUUUUUCUUUUCUUAACUAAGUAAUAUGGUUAGAUAUGAUGAUAUGAUAUAUGCUGGUUAUGUACUUUCUAUUUAUGUAGAUGAAAAGAACAAGACUUGUAAAACCUUCUUUGUGUUCUUUAAGAGUUGUGUUACAAUGAUAUGUUUGUCCUAUUUUCUUUCCUCAUACGUGUGCAUGUGUUUCAGUUGGAUCUUUGCCAGAAAAUGGCCGAACAUCUUGCAAUGACCACAGUUAAAUAUAUUAUACUUGGGUGAUUUUAGCUUUACAUAUAUGUUAUGUCUCUCAAUUAAACAGGUCCGGUUCUUCAAAUCUUCUUAUUUAGUUUUCCAUUUUCCUUAAUUGUUUUUGAAUCCAAUUUUAAGUCCAGCAAACCAGUUUUAAGUAUCCUUAAUUUAAAUAAAUAUGUAUAUGGAAGAGAUUUACUUCAAUUCUUUUGUCUAUGUAUCUUUCAGUAAUAAGUAACAAUACAUAAUACAUAUGUAUACUGCUGUUUAAAUAUAAUAUUAUAUAUGUGUAUAUCUAUACAGUAUUCUCACUUACUGAUAAUUAGACUCUUUUAGUGAAAAGUGUAAAGUAUUAUCACUAAGUAAUAAUAUUCCUAAGUGGGAUAGGUAUGAAAUAAAUUAAUUUGAUUAAUAUUUUUUUUAUUAUGUUUAAAUUUCGUUUAUUCAAAAACCAACUUAUAUAACUCUUUUACAUAAAAUUUCAACUUAGAAUAUGAGAAAUAGAAAGAUGACACCCACCUGGCAUGUUUGAAACCAUUUUUCUUAUUAUCACACUUAUUCAAGCUAAGCUUUUUUGCUUGCAAAUGUCAAUAUGAUAUAAUACUAUUGAAAAAGUAUUAUAAUACCUUACGUUUGUGAAGCAGGAAAGCUUAAGUGAAAAUUCUGAAGAAAAAAAAAAGAAAUGGCCUGGAAAGUUUAAGUUUAAGCUAGUCUCUAGACCUUGCUGCAACAUGGGGUUUUUGUUUGUGGUUGGCUACAAUGGCUCCACCUCUGUCAUUCUCUAUCAUAAGCUUGUUUGUCUAAUAGAAAUGUUCGGAUAUGACAUGGUGCUGCAUAUGAACACUGAUACUGAAGGUGUAGAAACAGCUCUGAAGUUGGCCAGGAAAUGGGGUUACGAGAAGAAGAAAAUUCUGAAAGAUAAGGUAAAGUUUAGGGAGAUUAUAUUUAACACAUACAAGGUCGUCUCUCUAUGUCUUAGUUAUUUUAAUUGCUGCUUAGACUGAAGAGAUUUACAAAUUGAGGCACUAAGUUCAGCUCAAAAUAUUUACUAGCCUUUGUAAGCAAUGAUUGGGUUAAGCUAUUAUUUCAAUGCCCGGGCUAAUGUAUUUUUCAAGGAUAAGAAUGCUUUGUAACUGCUGCUCAUCUUAGCUGUUGUGUGGACCAUAGUUUUCACUU